rnacentral:rRNA from 1 species
UCCCAGACUCCUACGGGAGGCAGCAGUGGGGAAUAUUGCACAAUGGGGGGAACCCUGAUGCAGCGACGCCGCGUGGGUGAAGGAGCACCUCGGUGCGUAAAGCCCUAUCGGCAGGGAAGAAAAGCGAACAGGUUCGCCUGGACGGUACCUGACUAAGAAGCCCCGGCUAACUACGUGCCAGCAGCCGCGGUAAUACGUAGGGGGCAAGCGUUAUCCGGAUUUACUGGGUGUAAAGGGAGCGUAGACGGUUAUGUAAGUCUGGAAUGAAAGCCCGGGGCCCAACCCCGGGACUGCUUUGGAAACUGUGUAACUGGAGUACAGGAGGGGCAGGCGGAAUUCCUGGUGUAGCGGUGAAAUGCGUAGAUAUCAGGAGGAACACCGGUGGCGAAGGCGGCCUGCUGGACUGAAACUGACGUUGAGGCUCGAAAGCGUGGGGAGCAAACAGGAUUAGGUACCCUUGUAC